rnacentral:rRNA from 1 species
AUUGAACGCUGGCGGCAGGCCUAACACAUGCAAGUCGAGCGGAUGAAGGGAGCUUGCUCCUGGAUUCAGCGGCGGACGGGUGAGUAAUGCCUAGGAAUCUGCCUGGUAGUGGGGGAUAACGUCCGGAAACGGGCGCUAAUACAGCAUACGUCCUGAGGGAGAAAGUGGGGGAUCUUCGGACCUCACGCUAUCAGAUGAGCCUAGGUCGGAUUAGCUAGCUGGUGGGGUAAAGGCCUACCAAGGCGACGAUCCGUAACUGGUCUGAGAGGAUGAUCAGUCACACUGGAACUGAGACACGGUCCAGACUCCUACGGGAGGCAGCAGUGGGGAAUAUUGGACAAUGGGCGAAAGCCUGAUCCAGCCAUGCCGCGUGUGUGAAGAAGGUCUUCGGAUUGUAAAGCACUUUAAGUUGGGAGGAAGGGCAGUAAGUUAAUACCUUGCUGUUUUGACGUUACCAACAGAAUAAGCACCGGCUAACUUCGUG